AGAUCUUGGUUGUAGUAGCAAUUAUUCUAAUGAGAACUUAGAAGACCGAAGUAAGAAAGGGUUCCAUGAGAACAGCAAUUGUUCAUGGGUUAAUCGUUCCUAAGCCUAAGCCGAAGGGCAAAAGCAUUAGGACGUUCCGUCCUAGCUGGCAAAAGGGAAAGCGGUUAAUAUUCCGCUAUCUGCAAGUGGAUAUUAUGUGGCAACACAACAGAUCCAACUGACGGCGGCAUGUAUCGCUAGAAGAGUUCUCUUUUCUUUUUAACUGAUUCUAGCCCUGGAAUUGGAUUAUCCAGAGAUAGGGCCAUAUAUCAGGAAGAGCAGUUCAAUCUAAGAACUGUUAGCAGUAUACUUGACGCUUACUAAAAAGGUUGGGGAGAGUCUUAUAACACUGCAGGACGUACCCACUACCGCCUCAGGUUCUUUAGGUUAGCAGCCUCUGGUCAACUAGAAGAAUGAAGAUAAGGGAAGUCGGCAUAAUAGAUCUGUAACUUCGGGAAAAGGAUUGGCUCUGACAAUGUAGUAUAAGGGCUCUUUUAUGAGCUCCUAAUGACUCUGUUAACUGCGGUGGCAACACUGUGGAUAACUAGUCGUUUCGAAGGAUUAUUUGAGACGCUUUCAUCGGCUUACCUUAUGCAAAGAAACAUUGAAUCAGAACUGAAGCGGACAAGGGGAAUCCGACUGUUUAAUAAAAACAUAGCUUUGCGAUAGCGCCAACGCGUAUUGACGCAAAGUGAUUUCUGCCCAGUGCUAUGAAUGUUAACGCUAUGAGAUUAGACUAAGCGCUAGUUAACGGCGGGAGUAACUAUGACUCUCUUAAGGUAGCCAAAUGCCUCGUCAUCUAAUUAGUGACGCGAAUGAAUGGAUCACUGAGAUUCCCACUGUCCCUAUCUUCUAUCUAGCGAACCAACAGCAAAGGGAACGGGCUUUGAAAAAUUAGCGGGGAAAGAAGACCCUGUUGAGCUUGACUUUAAUCUGACUUUGUCAAAUGGCUUAUGAGGUAUAGCCUAGGAGGGAGAGAAAUCGCCGCUGUAAAACCUCUACUCAUUUUGUCAUUUUACUUAUUCCAUAAAGAAUGGUUCACCUUAAGGUGAUUCUAGCACUAAACCUGUGUUUAUACAUGGGCGACAUUUGUGGAAAACAUGGUCAGGCUGGAAGUUUGGCUGGGGCGGCAUACGUGUUAAACAGUAACGCACGUGUCCUAUGGAUAGCUCAGAGAGAACGGAAAUCUCUCGUCGACCAAAAGGGGAAAAGCUAUCUUGAUUUUGAUUUUCAGUACCAAUACAAACUACGAAAGUAUGGCCUAUCGAUCCUUUAACUUUACAAGUUUUAAGCUAGAGGUGUCAGAAAAGUUACCACAGGGAUAACU
rnacentral:rRNA from 1 species